rnacentral:rRNA from 1 species
UGGCUCAGAACGAACGCUGGCAGCGUGGAUUAGGCAUGCAAGUCGAACGGGAUCGGGAAGGUAGCAAUAUCGGCCCGUGAGAGUGGCGGAAGGGCGAGGAACACGUGAGCAACCUGCCUUGAGGUGGGGAAAACCGUUGGAAACGACGGCUAAUACCGAAUGCGGCGCCGGGAGACAUCUUCCGAGCGCUAAAGGGGGCCGCAAGGCUCCCCCUCUUCGAGGGGCUCGCGCACCAUCAGCUUGUUGGCGGGGUAACGGCCCACCAAGGCUCACGGUUAGCUGGUCUGAGAGGAUGGCCAGCCGCACUGGGACUGAGAUACUGCCCAGACUCCUACGGGAGGCUGCAGUCGAGGAUCAUUCGCAAUGGGGGAAACCCUGACGAUGCGACGCUGCGUGGAGGAAUGAAGGCCCUCGGGUCGUAAACUCCUGUCAUGAGGGAAAAGGCGAGGGGACCCAACACGUCCCUUAGUUGAUGGUACCUCAAGAGGAACGGGCGGCUAACUCUGUGCCAGCAGCUGC